rnacentral:rRNA from 1 species
GGCCCACCUAGCCUACGAUGGAUAGGGGUUCUGAGAGGAAGGUCCCCCACAUUGGAACUGAGACACGGUCCAAACUCCUACGGGAGGCAGCAGUGAGGAAUAUUGGUCAAUGGGCGAGAGCCUGAACCAGCCAAGUAGCGUGAAGGAUGAAGGUCCUACGGAUUGUAAACUUCUUUUAUAAGGGAAUAAAACGCUCCACGUGUGGAGCCUUGUAUGUACCUUAUGAAUAAGCAUCGGCUAACUCCGUGCCAGCAGCCGCGGUAAUACGGAGGAUGCGAGCGUUAUCCGGAUUUAUUGGGUUUAAAGGGAGCGCAGACGGGAUGUUAAGUCAGCUGUGAAAGUUUGCGGCUCAACCGUAAAAUUGCAGUUGAUACUGGCGUUCUUGAGUGCAGUUGAGGUGUGCGGAAUUCGUGGUGUAGCGGUGAAAUGCUUAGAUAUCACGAAGAACUCCGAUUG